CCGAGUGCAGAGCCAGGGCCCAGCACGAAGGCCUUGGGCUCCAGUCCGUGUGCCCCACAUCCCUACAUGAGUGAGGGUGGAGGGAUGGUGCCUCUGCCACGGCCACGGUGCCGCCGUCCACGUCAGCUCACUCUCAGCACAGGUGCUGUGUGACGGCCUCGGGCCACACCGCUUGUUCUGAGGCCCCUAGCAGGUCGGGCUUGUGCUGGCUGCACAUUGGCUGGUGAGCUUGGCGGGUCUGUGGGCACGGAGAGACCAGAACGUGCGUAACAGGCCCGAUGAGGGUGCCAGGCUGUGGCGACCCCCGAGCUUCAGAGGAGAGGGGCACCAGCCGGGGGCCCUGCACAGGCAGCCUCAGAGAGAGGAAAGCUCACGAUCUGGGAGAACUCCAGGCCUGGCCCAGUGAAGACGUCCUUAUCUUCAGCAGACAUUGCCCAGUGCAAGGGGAGCCCCAGACUGACUUUCUGAGGUCACAGACGGAGCCUCACCCCAUCCAAGGCGGUGUCCUGGACUCCCACUGUGCUCCCCAGAGGGCAGGGUACCUGGGGCCCAGCCCGGGCGGCAGGAGGGACUCAGCCCCUCGCCCAGGCAGGAAGGGUCCCAAGCAGAGGCCCCUCCCUCAGGCACUCCCCAGCCCACACCUGCAGCACUGGGACCAAGACUAAUAAAACACCAGCCUCACGGAAGACAGCUUUAUCUUGUUGAUCGGAAGUCUGCCAGCCCAAUUUAUGAUGGAACAUAAGAUCUCUAAAUCUGAAUUUACGCUCUGUAGCGUAACGAGAGGUCAAUAAGAUUAAACGGGGGCUCAGGAGAGGACCAGCGUCAGGCUCACUGCGAGGUGCUGCACAGAAAACCCACAGCCAGAGCCCCUGGGCCCAGCCCAGGCAAGACCAGAAAAGGAGGGGGCAGGUGGGAGACCAGCCUGGGGCUCCCGGGAAGCCCACGGGAUGGAGGCGGGAGAGCCAGGAGGCCUGGGGCAACCCUGGGACGGUUCCUGGAUCGAGGAGAGCAGGGGGGUGAUGAGGGUUCCCUCAGGGCUGGGGAGCCUUCUCCUGGUCUCAGACCCACCCCCCUUCAGCUCCCAAGCCCUGGGUGCCCCUGGCUCUGAGGACAGUUGGGAAUCUUCCCUGAGGCAGGUUCAAGGACAGAGCUCUGACCCUGGCCCAGGGCUGCUUUGGGUGCCUAUGAACUCGGCUUCUGGCUCAGAGCAGUUCCCUGCACCCCUUCCUGAGCCCUCUGUCCUCUGGAACCCGUGGGCAGGGUGAGGGACGGGUGUUCCUUCUGGGUGGGGGCCUGGGCGCCCAGCCAGCACGACGCUGGCUUGCUGAGCUUAGGGCAGACCCCGACUUCAGAAUUUAUACAAAUAAAUGCAAUGAAAAGUGCUGGCA
rnacentral:lncRNA from 1 species